rnacentral:rRNA from 1 species
UACGGAGGGUGCAAGCGUUGUCCGGAUUUAUUGGGUUUAAAGGGUGCGUAGGCGGCCCGUUAAGUCAGUGGUGAAAGCCUCCAGCUCAACUGGAGAACUGCCAUUGAUACUGACGGGCUUGAGUACAGACGAGGUUGGCGGAAUUGAUUGUGUAGCGGUGAAAUGCAUAGAUACAAUCAAGAACGCCGAUUGCGUAGGCAGCUAACUAGGCUGUAACUGACGCUGAGGCACGAAAGCGUGGGGAGCGAACAGG